AACGAACGCUGGCGGCAGGCUUAACACAUGCAAGUCGAGCGCCCCCGCAAGGGGAGCGGCAGACGGGUGAGUAACGCGUGGGAACAUACCCUUUGGUUCGGAAUAACUCAGGGAAACUUGAGCUAAUACCGGAUACGUCCGUAAGGAGAAAGAUUUAUCGCCAAAGGAUUGGCCCGCGUCCGAUUAGCUAGUUGGUGAGGUAACGGCUCACCAAGGCUACGAUCGGUAGCUGGUCUGAGAGGAUGAUCAGCCACAUUGGGACUGAGACACGGCCCAAACUCCUACGGGAGGCAGCAGUGGGGAAUAUUGGACAAUGGGCGCAAGCCUGAUCCAGCCAUGCCGCGUGAGUGAUGAAGGCCUUAGGGUUGUAAAGCUCUUUUGUCCGGGAAGAUAAUGACUGUACCGGAAGAAUAAGCCCCGGCUAACUUCGUGCCAGCAGCCG
rnacentral:rRNA from 1 species